rnacentral:rRNA from 1 species
ACGGGUGCGUAACGCGUGAGCAACCUACCCAUAUCAGGGGGAUAGCCCGAAGAAAUUCGGAUUAACACCGCAUAAUAAUACGCUAACACAUGUUGAUGUAUUUAAAUAUUUAUAGGAUAUGGAUGGGCUCGCGUGACAUUAGCUAGUUGGUAAGGUAACGGCUUACCAAGGCGACGAUGUCUAGGGGCUCUGAGAGGAGAAUCCCCCACACUGGUACUGAGACACGGACCAGACUCCUACGGGAGGCAGCAGUAAGGAAUAUUGGUCAAUGGGCGCAAGCCUGAACCAGCCAUGCCGCGUGCAGGAUGACUGCCCUAUGGGUUGUAAACUGCUUUUGUUAGGGAAUAAACCUUCUUACGUGUAAGGAGCUGAAUGUACCUAAAGAAUAAGGAUCGGCUAACUCCGUGCCAGCAGCCGCGGUAAUACGGAGGAUCCAAGCGUUAUCCGGAUUUAUUGGGUUUAAAGGGUGCGUAGGUGGCUUAAUAAGUCAGGGGUGAAAGACAUCGGCUCAACCGAUGCAGUGCCUUUGAUACUGUUAAGCUUGAAUUAUGUUGAAGAUGGCGGAAUGAGACAAGUAGC